rnacentral:rRNA from 1 species
CCUACGGGAGGCUGCAGUGGGGAAUAUUGGGCAAUGGGCGCAAGCCUGACCCAGCAACGCCGCGUGAAGGAAGAAGGCUUUCUGGUUGGAAACUUCUUUUCUCAGGGACGAAGCAAGUGACGGUCCCUGAGGACUACGCCACGGCUAACUACGUGCCAGCAGCCGCUGUAAUACGUAGGUGGCAAGCGUUAUCCGGAUUUACUGGGUGUAAAGGGCGUGUAGGCGGGAAUGGAAGUCAGAUGUGAAAACCACGGGCUCAACCUGUGGCCUGCAGUUGAAACUGUAGUUCUUGAGUACGGGAGAGGCAGACGGAAUUCCUAGUGUAGCGGUGAAAUGCGUAGAUAUUAGGCGGAACACCAGUGGCGAAGGCGGUCUGCUGGACAGCAACUGACGCUGAGGCGCGAAAGCGUGGGGAGCAAACAGGAUUAGAUACCCCAGUAGUC